UUAAGUGACUAAGCGUACACGGUGGAUGCCUAGGCAGUCAGAGGCGAUGAAGGGCGUGCUAAUCUGCGAAAAGCGUCGGUAAGGUGAUAUGAACCGUUAUAACCGGCGAUACCCGAAUGGGGAAACCCAGUGCAAUUCGUUGCACUAUCGUUAAGUGAAUACAUAGCUUAACGAGGCGAACCGGGGGAACUGAAACAUCUAAGUACCCCGAGGAAAAGAAAUCAACCGAGAUUCCCCCAGUAGCGGCGAGCGAACGGGGAGGAGCCCAGAACCUGAAUCAGUUCUUGUGUUAGUGGAAGCGUCUGGAAAGUCGCGCAGUAAAGGGUGAUAGCCCCGUACACUAAAAUGCAUUNNNNNNNNNUAGUUGCAAGGUAUAGACCCGAAACCCGGUGAUCUAGCCAUGGGCAGGUUGAAGGUUGGGUAACACUAACUGGAGGACCGAACCGACUAAUGUUGAAAAAUUAGCGGAUGACUUGUGGCUGGGGGUGAAAGGCCAAUCAAACCGGGAGAUAGCUGGUUCUCCCCGAAAGCUAUUUAGGUAGCGCCUCGUGAACUCAUCUUCGGGGGUAGAGCACUGUUUCGGCUAGGGGGCCAUCCCGGCUUACCAAACCGAUGCAAACUCCGAAUACCGAAGAAUGUUAUCACGGGAGACACACGGCGGGUGCUAACGUCCGUCGUGAAGAGGGAAACAACCCAGACCGCCAGCUAAGGUCCCAAAGUCAUGGUUAAGUGGGAAACGAUGUGGGAAGGCAUAGACAGCCAGGAUGUUGGCUUAGAAGCAGCCAUCAUUUAAAGAAAGCGUAAUAGCUCACUGGUCGAGUCGGCCUGCGCGGAAGAUGUAACGGGGCUAAACCAUGCACCGAAGCUGCGGCAGCGACGCUUAGGCGUUGUUGGGUAGGGGAGCGUUCUGUAAGCCGUUGAAGGUGGCCUGUGAGGGUUGCUGGAGGUAUCAGAAGUGCGAAUGCUGACAUAAGUAACGAUAAAGCGGGUGAAAAGCCCGCUCGCCGGAAGACCAAGGGUUCCUGUCCAACGUUAAUCGGGGCAGGGUGAGUCGACCCCUAAGGCGAGGCCGAAAGGCGUAGUCGAUGGGAAACAGGUUAAUAUUCCUGUACUCGGUGUUACUGCGAAGGGGGGACGGAGAAGGCUAGGCUAGCCGGGCGACGGUUGUCCCGGUUUAAGCGUGUAGGGGGAGUGACCCGGUAAAUCCGGUUGCUUAUUCAACCCUGAGGCGUGAUGACGAUGCACCACGGUGCAGAAGUAGUUGAUGCCAAGCUUCCAGGAAAAGCCUCUAAGCAUCAGGUAACACAGAAUCGUACCCCAAACCGACACAGGUGGUCAGGUAGAGAAUACCAAGGCGCUUGAGAGAACUCGGGUGAAGGAACUAGGCAAAAUGGUGCCGUAACUUCGGGAGAAGGCACGCUGGCGCGUAGGUGAAGUCCCUUGCGGAUGGAGCUGAAGCCAGUCGCAGAUACCAGCUGGCUGCAACUGUUUAAUAAAAACACAGCACUGUGCAAACACGAAAGUGGACGUAUACGGUGUGACGCCUGCCCGGUGCUGGAAGGUUAAUUGAUGGGGUCAGCCGCAAGGCGAAGCUCUUGAUCGAAGCCCCAGUAAACGGCGGCCGUAACUAUAACGGUCCUAAGGUAGCGAAAUUCCUUGUCGGGUAAGUUCCGACCUGCACGAAUGGCGUAAUGAUGGCCAGGCUGUCUCCACCCGAGACUCAGUGAAAUUGAACUCGCUGUGAAGAUGCAGUGUACCCGCGGCAAGACGGAAAGACCCCGUGAACCUUUACUAUAGCUUGACACUGAACAUUGAGCCUUGAUGUGUAGGAUAGGUGGGAGGCUUUGAAGCGUGGACGCCAGUCUGCGUGGAGCCAACCUUGAAAUACCACCCUUUAAUGUUUGAUGUUCUAACUCGGCCCCNGGGGUGAGGACAGUGUCUGGUGGGUAGUUUGACUGGGGCGGUCUCCUCCCAAAGAGUAACGGAGGAGCACGAAGGUUAGCUAAUCACGGUCGGACAUCGUGAGGUUAGUGCAAAGGCAUAAGCUAGCUUGACUGCGAGAGUGACGGCUCGAGCAGGUACGAAAGUAGGUCUUAGUGAUCCGGUGGUUCUGAAUGGAAGGGCCAUCGCUCAACGGAUAAAAGGUACUCCGGGGAUAACAGGCUGAUACCGCCCAAGAGUUCAUAUCGACGGCGGUGUUUGGCACCUCGAUGUCGGCUCAUCACAUCCUGGGGCUGAAGUAGGUCCCAAGGGUAUGGCUGUUCGCCAUUUAAAGUGGUACGCGAGCUGGGUUUAGAACGUCGUGAGACAGUUCGGUCCCUAUCUGCCGUGGGCGUUGGAAGAUUGAGAGGGGUUGCUCCUAGUACGAGAGGACCGGAGUGAACGCACCACUGGUGUUCGGGUUGUCAUGCCAAUGGCACUGCCCGGUAGCUAAGUGCGGAAAAGAUAAGCGCUGAAAGCAUCUAAGCGCGAAACUUGCCUCGAGAUGAGUCUUCCCUGGGCCUUUAAGGCCCCUGAAGGAACGUUUAAGACUAAGACGUUGAUAGGCUGGGUGUGUAAGUGCAGCGAUGCAUUGAGCUAACCAGUACUAAUGAUCCGUGAGGCUUAACCUU
rnacentral:rRNA from 1 species